rnacentral:rRNA from 1 species
GUGCCAGCCGCCGCGGUAAUACGAAGGGUGCAAGCGUUAUUCGGAUUGACUGGGCGUAAAGUGUGUGUAGACGGUAUGUUAAGUCUGUUGUUAAAUUCUCUGGCUCAACUAGAGAUCUGCAGCGGAAACUAAUGUACUAGAGGGCGGAAGAGAGAAGUGGAAUUCUCGGAGUAGCGGUAAAAUGCGUAGAUCUCGAGAGGAACACCAAUGGCGAAGGCAGCUUCUUGGUCCGCUUCUGACGUUGAGACACGAAAGCGUGGGGAGCAAACAGGAUUAGAAACCCUUGUAGUCC